rnacentral:rRNA from 1 species
AACUAACGCUGGCGGCGUGCCUAACACAUGCAAGUCGUACGAGAAAGUUGGCUUCGGCCGAUGAGUAAAGUGGCGCACGGGUGAGUAAUGCGUGGAUAAUCUGCCCUUUAGUUGGGAAUAACGUACCGAAAGGUGCGCUAAUACCUGAUAAUACUGCAUAACUACUGUUGUGUAGUCAAAGAAGGCCUCUGUUUACAAGCUUUUGCUGAAGGAUGAGUCCGCGUACCAUUAGCUGGUUGGUGGGGUAAUGGCCUACCAAGGCUACGAUGGUUAGCUGGUCUGAGAGGAUGAUCAGCCACACUGGAACUGAGACACGGUCCAGACUCCUACGGGAGGCAGCAGUGAGGAAUAUUGCGCAAUGGGGGCAACCCUGACGCAGCAACGCCGCGUGAGUGAGGAAGGUUUUCGGACCGUAAAGCUCUGUCGAGUGGGAAGAAGUGUAUCAUGGCUAAUAUCCGUGAUAUUUGACGGUACCGCUAGAGG